GCGGGUGUAGCUUAGUGGUAAAGCCUCGGCCUUCCAAGCCGAUGAUAUGGGUCCGAUUCCCAUUACCCGCU
rnacentral:tRNA from 1 species